rnacentral:lncRNA from 1 species
GUGCAGCACACCAGCAUGGCACAUGUAUACAUAUGUAACUAACCUGCACAUUGUGCACAUGUACCCCAAAACUUAAAGUAUAAUAAUAAUAAAAUUUAAAAAAAAUAACAGAUGCUGGUGAGGCUGCAAAGAAAAGGGAAUGCUUGUAAACUCAUAAACUGUUGGUGGGAAUGUGAAUUAGUUCAACCAGUGUAGGGAGCAGUUUAGAGAUUUCUCAAUGAAUAUUAAACAGAAUUACCAUUUGACACAGUAAUCCCAUUACUGGGUAGACACCCAAAGAAAAAUAAAUUGUUCUCUAAACAAGACACAUGUCUUCAUAUGUUCAUUGCAGCACUAUUCACAAUAGCAAAUACCUGGAAUUAACCUAGGGGCCCAUCAAUAGUAAGUUGGAUAAAGAAAAUGUGGCGUAUAUAUACACCACGGAAUACUAUGUGGCCAUAUAAAAGGAUAAAAUUGUGUCCUUUGAAGCAACAUAGAUGCAGCUGAAGGCCAUAAUCCUAACCAAAUUAACAGAGGAAUGGAAAACCAAAUAUCACAUGCUCUCACUUAUAAGUGGGAGCUAAACAUUGGGUACAUAUGGACAUAAAGAUGGCAGCAAUAUACACCAGGGACUACUAAUGGAAGAAGAGAAAGCAGAAAAAGGGCUAAGAAACUACCUAUUGCAUCCUAUGCUCACUUCGUGGGUGACAGGAUCAUUUUUAACCCAAACCUCAGUGUCACAAAAUAUAGCCAUGUAACAGCCUGCACAUGUACCCCCUGAACUUAAAAUAAAAGUUGAAAAGAUAUUUUUAAAAGAACUGGUUCUUGAAAAGUAAGUAAAAUUAGAGAGACAGAGCAAGAUGACAGAAUAGACAGCUCCAUCAAUCGUGCCGCCCAGAAGGACACCACACAGAAAAAAAAAAAAAAAAAAACACCUGCAUAAGAACCAAAAAUCAGAUAAGCACUCAUAGGACCUUGUUUAAACGUCAUAUUGCUGGAAGGGGCACUGAAGAAAUAGAAAAAACAAACCUGAAUUGCUGACACCACCCCAUCCCCACCCCAGAGGUGCUGAAAGCAUCUCUGGGCACUGGGGGAGGGAGAACACAGUAAUUGUGAGGCAUUGAACUCGGUGCCCUCCUGUUAGAGCAGAAAGAAAAAGCAGAUCCAGCUCAGCUGAUGCCCACCCACAGAGGAGGCAUUUAAACCAGCCCUAGGCAAAGGAAAAUCCCUUAUCCCAAUGGUCCAAACUUGAGUUAUGCCUGAAAACCUCGCCACCGAGGGCCAAAACAAAGUAAACAAAGUUUACUUGUUCCCUAAGUAAACCUGAAAGGCAAUCUAGGCCACAAGGACUGCAACUCUUAGGUGAGUCCUAGGCCUGAACUAGGCC